rnacentral:rRNA from 1 species
AACGAACGCUGGCGGCAUGCCUAACACAUGCAAGUCGAACGAGACCUUCGGGUCUAGUGGCGCACGGGUGCGUAACGCGUGGGAACCUGCCCUUAGGUUCGGAAUAACUCCCCGAAAGGGGUGCUAAUACCGGAUAAUGUCUUCGGACCAAAGAUUUAUCGCCUUUGGAUGGGCCGGCGUUGGAUUAGCUAGUUGGUAGGGUAAAAGCCUACCAAGGCGACGAUCCAUAGCUGGUCUGAGAGGAUGAUCAGCCACACUGGGACUGAGACACGGCCCAGACUCCUACGGGAGGCAGCAGUGGGGAAUAUUGGACAAUGGGCGAAAGCCUGAUCCAGCAAUGCCGCGUGAGGGAUGAAGGCCUUAGGGUUGUAAAGCUCUUUUACCCGGGAUGAUAAUGACAGUACCGGGAGAAUAAGCUCCGGCUAACUCCGUG